rnacentral:rRNA from 1 species
UACGGGGGGGGCAAGCGUUGUUCGGAAUUACUGGGCGUAAAGGGCUCGUAGGUGGCCAACUAAGUCAGACGUGAAAUCCCUCGGCUUAACCGGGGAACUGCAUCUGAUACUGGAUGGCUUGAGUUCGGGAGAGGGAUGUGGAAUUCCAGGUGUAGCGGUGAAAUGCGUAGAUAUCUGGAGGAACACCGGUGGCGAAGGCGGCAUCCUGGACCGACACUGACGCUGAUGAGCGAAAGCCAGGGGAGCAAACGGG